AACGAGCCGUCCGUCUCCGUCAAUUAUUCUUUUCUACAAACCCUGCCGGUCGUUUUCGUUGAACGUAUGCUGACGGGUCGUUACGUUGCUGGUGUAUGUGAAUGUUUUCAUGAGAUUUGCAUUGCAGAAUCAUUGACGUAACGUGACGUGACGGGACGUGAACGUAACGUGGAUGUUGUAUGUGAAUCGCACUAAACUGUCAUCUCAAGCAAAAACAAAUGGAUCAUACAACUGCUAUGAAUACAUUCGACUCGUUUGCUUCCAUCAAUCGGUAAGUGAGAAAGAUGAUUUCUCCCAUCACCACAGUGCGGAUUUCCACUUCUAUCACAGCAGCCAACAACAUCCGUUUUCCUGCAGCAGUAACCUCCAACCCCUGUUGGCAAUGCCGGGGGAUAGCAUUAACAGCAGCAGCAGCAGCAGAAUUUGACCAUGGUAUGGUAUUGCGAAGAACUUUCCCCAUUAGAGGUUCAGUGCUUUGCGCACAUUCAAAAAUCCUAUUCAGACACGAAAACUCAACGACAAGGAGGUAUUUAUCAACUUGCUCAGCUGAAUUACCACCCCGGAAGAACCCGAAUGCACUGAUUCCGUUGUAUAGUAGAAUGAAAAUAGGUGACGUAAGCGAACGUAAUCGCAUGAUAUUUUAAUGUUCGCAUUUUUAUCCGGAUCAUACAACUUCUAUGAAUACAUCCGACUCAAUCAAUCGGCGAGUGAGAAAGAUGAUUUUCCUCAUCACCACAUUGCUUAUUUGCACUUCUGUCACACCAGCCAACAGCAUCAGCUUUCCCGCAGCAGUAUCCUUUAAGUCCAGGGUGCUAUCCCGGGGAACAGCAUCAACAGCAACAGCAGGUCCUGGCCAUCGAUAGUAUUUCGAGCAAUUUUCCCCAUCGGAGAUCCCGUGCUUCACGCACAUUGAAGAAUCCUCCUCAGCCACAUAUCUGUGUCAUCAAGGGCAAGGAGGUAUUCAUCAAUGUACUCAGUCGGAUUUGAAUCGUCGAUCCAGACAACCCGGAUGCACCGAUUCCAUUAUAUAC